UACGGAGGGUGCGAGCGUUGUCCGGAUUUAUUGGGUUUAAAGGGUGCGUAGGCGGCCUUAUAAGUCCGGGGUGAAAGCCCGUUGCUCAACAACGGAACUGCCCUGGAUACUGUGAGGCUUGAGUACAGACGAGGUUGGCGGAAUGGACUGAGUAGCGGUGAAAUGCAUAGAUACAGUCCAGAACCCCGAUUGCGAAGGCAGCUGACUAGGCUGUUACUGACGCUGAGGCACGACAGCGUGGGGAGCGAACAGG
rnacentral:rRNA from 1 species